GAGAAUUAGCUAAAGUCCAACUGCCUUUAAAUCUAACAUGGGAUUGUCUGAUUCAACCUGUGAUUUCUUCAAUCCCUCAUAGUCCUUGUAUUUUCAGAAAGGAAUGGCACUUUACUUAAUGACUGACAUGAAUAAAUCUGGCCACACCCCGAAAGGAACUGUUGAGGAGAGCAUGGGAAGGUAUCAAGAACAAACAAACGCAGCAAACAAAGAAAAAUCCAUGGCACGGACGUCUUCAUGCAUCCAUAAAUCUUUUGCGCGGGUUGAAAUAGUGUCAUUGAAGAAAGAUCUUUUUUUGUGCAAAUUUCAAUAAAUGCCAACGGAACAGUGCAGUAAA